rnacentral:rRNA from 1 species
CGUAAUAGCUCACUGGUCGAGUCGGCCUGCGCGGAAGAUGUAACGGGGCUAAACCAUGCACCGAAGCUGCGGCAGCGACACUAUGUGUUGUUGGGUAGGGGAGCGUUCUGUAAGCCUGUGAAGGUGUACUGUGAGGUAUGCUGGAGGUAUCAGAAGUGCGAAUGCUGACAUAAGUAACGAUAAAGCGGGUGAAAAGCCCGCUCGCCGGAAGACCAAGGGUUCCUGUCCAACGUUAAUCGGGGCAGGGUGAGUCGA